rnacentral:rRNA from 1 species
AGAGUUUGAUCCUGGCUCAGAACGAACGCUGGCGGCGCGUCUUAAGCAUGCAAGUCGAACGGCAAGAGAGGAGCUUGCUUCUCUCCUAGAGUGGCGGACUGGUGAGGAACACGUGGGUAAUCUACCCUUAAGAUGGGGAUAGCUGCUAGAAAUAGCAGGUAAUACCGAAUACACUCAGUGCUUCAUAAGGGGUAUUGAGGAAAGGAAGCUACGGCUUCGCUUGAGGAUGAGCUUGCGUCCCAUUAGCUAGUUGGUGAGGUAAAGGCCCACCAAGGCGACGAUGGGUAUCCGGCCUGAGAGGGUGAUCGGACACAUUGGGACUGAGAUACGGCCCAAACUCCUACGGGAGGCAGCAGCUAAGAAUAUUCCGCAAUGGACGGAAGUCUGACGGAGCGACGCCGCGUGGAUGAAGAAGGCUGAAAAGUUGUAAAAUCCUUUUGUUGAUGAAGAAUAAGGGUGAGAGGGAAUGCUCAUCUGAUGACGGUAAUCGACGAAUAAGCCCCGGCUAAUUACGUGCCAGCAGCCGCGGUAACACGUAAGGGGCGAGCGUUGUUCGGAAUUAUUGGGCGUAAAGGGCAUGUAGGCGGUUAUGUAAGCCUGAUGUGAAAUCCUGGGGCUUAACCCUAGAAUAGCAUUGGGUACUGUGUAACUUGAAUUACGGAAGGGAAACUGGAAUUCCAAGUGUAGGGGUGGAAUCUGUAGAUAUUUGGAAGAACACCGGUGGCGAAGGCGGGUUUCUGGCCGAUAAUUGACGCUGAGAUGCGAAAGUGUGGGGAUCGAACAGGAUUAGAUACCCUGGUAGUCCACACCGUAAACGAUGUACACUAGGUGUUGGGGCAAGAGCUUCAGUGCCAAAGCAAACGCGAUAAGUGUACCGCCUGGGGAGUAUGCCCGCAAGGGUGAAACUCAAAGGAAUUGACGGGGGCCCGCACAAGCGGUGGAGCAUGUGGUUUAAUUCGAUGGUACGCGAGGAACCUUACCUGGGUUUGACAUCUAGUAGAAGG